AUUUAGGUUAUCGAUACCAAAUAAAAACUAAUUUUUUUUUGUAACAAUUAAGCUUUUAUUGGAAGAUCUACAGAGUCUUAAUUUUAAACUUACGUUCCACCGUUUCGACAAAGUCUAUAAAAUCCUUGUAUAGAACCUUUGGAACCUCUAGAGCGGCAAAGUGCCCGCCCUUUUUGUGGCCAAUUUUUCCCACAAAGGCGGUAAAAUCAUUGAACAACAUGGCCGGCAUCUCCAGGGCGGCAAAGUGGCUGCCCUGCUGGAAGUACAUCGAGUGGGUCAGGUUGGGGAACUUGUCCCUCAGCUGCCAGUCAGUCACCGAGGCCAGAUCGAACCGGAAGCGGGCACAGCCCAUGGGAACCGGGGACUGCACACGAUCCAGCUGGAGAUCCCUGUACGUCUUGGACACGUUCUCCAGGUAGAAACGAGCCGCUGUCGUGGCCGAGUUCGUCAGAUAGUAGACCAUCAGGUUGUCCAGCACAGCCUCCAGGCCGAAGACAGUGACUAUGGCGCCAAAGUCCUGCUUCAGGCCGGGAUUUGUGCAGGUCUGGAAUUUCUCGAGGAUAUAGGAGGCCAAGCCGACGGGACUGGAGGUCAGAGCCGCUCCAAUCGUAUCCGGCUUGGUGGCCUGGAUGUGAAAGUAACCGCUUUCCUCCAGCAGCUCCAGCCAUUUUUCCCACACGGGGAAGUGAUGAUCCACAAAGAAUCUGGACGGCAAGUACUUCUCCGGGAAGAAGCUGCCGUAGAUUCCCUUCAGAAUGGCCAGUGGCGUGUGCAGAACGCACAUGUUCGAGUGGUAACCGAUUACGUUCUCUGGAUACAAGGUGGCCAAGUUGCUGCCAAUGAUGCUGCCCCAAUCUCCGCCUUGGAUGAAGAACUUCUUGUGGCCCAGACGCAGCAUCAGGUUACGCAUCACAGUGGCCAUUUCAGCGGCAUUAAAUCCGGGACGCGUGGCAGCCUUAAGUUAUAAUAAUAAUAAUAAUAAUUAAAAUGAAGAAAUUCAACUGAAAAACAAAUAACACUCACAUC
rnacentral:lncRNA from 1 species